UCUCUGGUGGCUCAGAUGGUAGAGAAUCUGCCUCCAAUGCAGGUAGACCCAGGUUCGAUCCCUGGGUUGGGAA
rfam:Ovis aries breed Texel chromosome 7, whole genome shotgun sequence.